rnacentral:sRNA from 1 species
AAAAAAUUUCUGCCAAAUUUUUUUCGUAACAAAUUUUUUGACAGCAAAAAAGAUGCUUUUAGAAAUUCUUGUAACUUUUUUUUGGCGGGAAAUAGAUUUACAAGAGAUUUUAAAAAGGUUUUAAAAGAUGUACAAGUGAUUUUAAAAGGGUUUAAAAAGAUUUACAAGGGAUUUUAAAAGGGUUUUAAAAAAUUUACAAGAGAUUUUAAAAGGUUUUAAAAAGAUUUACAAGAGUUUUAAAGGGUCUUCUUGUAAAUUAUUUAUAAAUCUUUUAAAAAUCCUUGUACAUCUUUUAAAACCCUUUCAAACCCUUUAAAAAUCUCUUGUAAAUCUUUUAAAACCCUUUUAAAAUCCCUUGUAAAUCUUUCAAAACACUUUAAACCCUUUAAAAAAAUCUUUUAAAAAACUUUGUAAAUCUUUUAAAUCCCUUUAAAAUCCCUUGUAAAUCUUUUAAAACCCUUUUCAAAUCCCUUGUAAAUGUUUUAAAACCCUUUUAGAACAAUUUUAAACCCUUUAAAAAUCUUUAAAAACCCUUUGUAAAUCUUUUAACUGAAAAUUACCUAGUUUGACACAAAUUUGGCAUAAAAUGGCUAGAAUGACAUUCAAAAAUCUAAUUAUACUAGAUUAACACAAUUAUAUGGU